rnacentral:hammerhead_ribozyme from 1 species
AUCUAGCCGAUGAGUUCCAAAUAGGACAAAACGUGCGUCCUGGUU